GUUUAUAUAGUUUAUUAAAACCUUACAUUUUCAUUGUAAAAAUAAAACAAUUGUUUUUAUAAAUU
rnacentral:tRNA from 1 species